UACAGAGGUCUCAAGCGUUGUUCGGAUUCAUUGGGCGUAAAGGGUGCGUAGGCGGCGCGGUAAGUCGGGUGUGAAAACUCAGGGCUCAACCCCGAGACGCCAUCCGAUACUGCUGUGACUUGAAUCUGGUAGGGGAGCACGGAAUUCCUGGUGUAGCGGUGAAAUGCGCAGAUAUCAGGAGGAACACCGGCGGCGAAGGCGGUGCUCUGGGCCAGUAUUGACGCUGAGGAGCGAAAGCGUGGGUAGCAAACAGG
rnacentral:rRNA from 1 species